CGGGGUCUUGAAGGAGUGGGCCGCUGCCCGGCUUGGGACGCCUCCUCCCGUGUCUUCUGCACCCUCUGGCUGGCCUCUGCGCCCCUGCGUUGGUUUUCCUCAUGCUCAGCCGGCCUAGAGUAGAUGUGGAGUGGGCAGGCCCUCUGAGCGGUGUGUCAGGCACAUCCGGACCCAGAGACGAGGAAUGGGACCCCGUGGGGGCCUGCCUGCUGGCAUAAGGAUACAGUCCCGUAAGAAGACCUAUCUCGGGAGGUGUCCUGCAGAGGGGAUCCGUGGAGCCUGGAAUUGGAGGCGGGUCCUGUGCCCCGGUGGAAAAACUCCCCCAACCUGGUGGGAGUCACAGCUGGAGAAGAGCUCAUCCUGGCGGCCUGGCCACUGUCCACUCUUCUGUGGCCACAGGGACAAUGCCUGUGUGGAGAGCCGGCUUCUCUGCACCUGCCUAAGAGAACGCCGCAAGUCGGUGGCAGACCCGGUUCUAGAGGCAAAGCCUUGCCCAGGUGUGGCCAUAACUGCCGCAGGCGUCGCGCUCAGAGCGACUGUUCUUCAUCCGUGGGAGGCAUGAAGCCCUUGGAAAAUCUCACAAACGUUAUGAACCUUCUCCCCAGGAAAACACGCAUACUCAUGCAGACACAAAAAUCUACAAACAAGUUCAGAGCUCCCGGACACAACCUGCCGUUCAUUCUUCACCGGACAUAGAGCCUGGGUCACUACACAAGUAGCACUUUCCCUCCCCCGGCUGAGCUUCCUGCCCUCGUCCAGGAAUAAAGGAUUCUGAGGAGGGGACCCUUCCACUCUCUUCUCUUGGGCCUGACCGUGCAUCAGGCUUCUGGAACCUUUUCUCCCUUCCGCGAACAUUGCUGGAGGCUCGCUGGGCUGGGUUUGCUCUUGUCUGGUUUGGGGCUGCUUGUGGUGGCUACCUGGCUGCUGGUUUUUGCCAUGCAGCCUGGACUUCGAUUUCACCGUAGAGGUGGCGGGGAAAGCUGGAAUUUCUAUGGAUGUGGGGUGAGCAUGAACUUGGACUGAGGCUACCUGGAGAGGGAUCCUGCUUCCAGCAGCCUAGCCGCGGCGGGCCGUCCCCUGCCAGACCAGGAGUUCAGCUGCAGCUGGGCAUGGGGUGGAGACGGCUGGGCAGGGAGACCGAGCCUCACUCCUGGGGCCUGCCAGUGCUCUGGUGUGGACAGUGGGACAGGGCUGACGACUUUGGUUUUCACCCUGAGCUGGUUGGCCUGGAGCUCACUGGCCUCCUCAGACUGAACCACUUGACCUGAAAAGAUGUGGGCGAUUAGGGCUGGGAUGGGUUUUUGAUGACAACCAACCGAUCGUGAUGCCAUUAUUUUUAGUGCAGUCCUUGGGGGUGGGGAGAGGCCGAUAGCCAUGGGAUUUGGUUCCAAGCCCAGCGAUGUAAGUUGUGUGGGUCUCAGUGCAGUUGUUCUGCUGGGAGGUCCCAGGGCCAAGCUAGGUUUGGUCAGGCUUGUCGGGAGGCCUCCCCAGCUCCUGGCCUGGGACCUUGCUGGUGGUGUCUCCCAUGCGGUCUGGCACAGAGGGUCUGUGGGCCACCUGCCAUCCGCCUCGUCCUGAUAUCAGACUGCUCAGGGGAAGAGCAGAGGAAGAGGAGGCAGUCUGUGCUCUAGAAGCUUCCAUGUGAUCUGACCCUUCGCCCGCCUGGAGGGAGCCUCGCAGAUGCACUGUCUUCUCUGCUGGUUGUCCUCUCUCUCCCUUCCCUGUAACUUGUCGCCCGCACCCACUGUUGCCUUCUCUGUCUUCCCUGGAAUUGCUCCAAAAUGUGGCCCUUCCCCCACCCUGCUGAUCCCUCUUCUCCGCCAGGCCCUCCAUCCUCGUCCUCCGAACAGUCCCUGUGUUGACACGCCAUCUCACCCUCGGGGACCCCGGGUUGUCCGUGCGCACGCAUGUGGAUGUGUGUGGGGGGGUCUCCAGCUAGACUGUGAGCUCCCCGAGGGCAAGGGACGGGCCAUGUCUUCUCGAAGCCCAACAGGGUCCAGCACGGGGCUGGGCUCCUAACACUCAGGAAAUACUUGUCAGCUGGCUGAUGGGUCCAGUGCUGGAGGCUGUGCGGGGACUGGCGGUGAGGAGAGGACCCGUGAGCUCCGCGUGGGUGCAUCUUGCUGGGUCGUGAGCUGGCUCCCCCGGGGCAGUAAUGGCCGUAGGGGCCCUCAGGUCCUCCCUUAUCUGGGGCAGCGGGGCAGGAGGGACCCCCGACAUGGCUACGCAGGAGUGCCGUGGUGUCGGGGCUGGAUAUUUCCGUUGGCCACUAAGACCGGCCGGGGCUGACCAAGUGGAAUAAAUGUUCCCUCGACAUCA